rnacentral:rRNA from 1 species
GAUGAACGCUAGCGGGAGGCUUAACACAUGCAAGUCGAGGGGCAUCACGAGGUAGCAAUACUUUGGUGGCGACCGGCGCACGGGUGAGUAACGCGUAUGCAACCUACCCUGUACAGGGGGAUAGCCCGGAGAAAUUCGGAUUAAUACCCCAUAAUGAUAUUUUAUGGCAUCAUAAAAUAUUUAAAGCUCAGGCGGUACGGGAUGGGCAUGCGUAACAUUAGCUAGUUGGUAGGGUAAUGGCCUACCAAGGCGACGAUGUUUAGGGGUCCUGAGAGGGUGAUCCCCCACACUGGAACUGAGACACGUACCAGACUCCUACGGGAGGCAGCAGUGAGGAAUAUUGGUCAAUGGGCGCGAGCCUGAACCAGCCAUCCCGCGUGAAGGAAGACUGCCCUAUGGGUUGUAAACUUCUUUUCCAGGGGAAUAAAAUCUCGAACGAGUUCGGGACUGAAGGUACCCUGGGAAUAAGCAUCGGCUAACUCCGUGCCAGCAGCCGCGGUAA